rnacentral:pre_miRNA from 1 species
UCUUAUGGAUGAGCAAAGAAAGUGAUUUUUUUGAGAUGGAAUAUACUAUUGGUGAAGAUGCUGUGAG